UACGUAGGGGGCAAGCGUUGUCCGGAAUCAUUGGGCGUAAAGCGCGCGUAGGCGGCCCGGUAAGUCCGCUCUGAAAGUCCAGGGCUCAACCCUGGAAAGCGGGUGGAUACUGCCGGGCUAGAAUCCGGAAGAGGCGAGUGGAAUUCCUGGUGUAACGGUGGAAUGCGCAGAUAUCAGGAGGAACACCGGUGGCGAAGGCGGGUCUCUGGGCCGAUAUUGACGCUGAGGAGCGAAAGCGUGGGGAGCGAACAGG
rnacentral:rRNA from 1 species